GCCGGGAUAGCUCAGUUGGGAGAGCAGCAGACUGAAGGCGUUCCGGUCCUUGGUUUCUGAAGGUCCCGUGUUCAAUCCACGGUCCUGGCA